GGUCCCGUAGCUCAGUUGGUCAGAGCGUGGCUCUUAUGAGCUGAAGGUCGCGGGUUCGAAUCUCGCCGGGACCA
rfam:Jatropha curcas cultivar GZQX0401 scaffold687_8, whole genome shotgun sequence.